AUUGAACGCUGGCGGCGUGCUUAACACAUGCAAGUCGUGCGGUAACAGGCGUAGCAAUACGUGCUGACGAGCGGCGAACGGGUGCGUAAUACAUGGGAAUCUGCCCUUUAGUGGGGAAUAACCCGGCGAAAGCCGGGCUAAUGCCGCAUAAGAUCUUCGGAUGAAAGCGGGGGAUCGUAAGACCUCGCGCUGAUGGAUGAGCCCAUGUCGGAUUAGCAGUUGGUGAGGUAACGGCUCACCAAGGCGACGAUCCGUAGCUGGUCUGAGAGGACGGCCAGCCACACUGGGACUGAGACACGGCCCAAACUCCUACGGGAGGCAGCAGUGGGAAUAUUGGACAAUGGGGAAACCCUGAUCCAGCGACGCCGCGUGUGUGAAGAAGGCCUGGCGGGUUU
rnacentral:rRNA from 1 species